rnacentral:lncRNA from 1 species
GCCGUUUUCCUCUGAUGAAAAAGGCCUCGCGCGCGUCAGCGUAUAGCUCGCAUCUUUCCUGUCAGUGAAAGACGGCUGCGAUGCCGCCGCUUUGUCGAUCCCGGUCGGUGCGUUUGCGUCUUUUGAGCGUUCCUCAAAUCCCCUCGAAACGGUGCUUUCCCGUGUCGACACCUAAAGCAACGCGGUUUACGCUCCGGAGCGACGCCAGAGUCGGGAUCCUAGGAUUUUACGAGGCGUCUGUUAACCCAAACUGAAGCGAGCACUCCCUCUGCUGAAAGAUGCAUCAAGCCUAAAGUAAAGCGGUUAGUCUUGGCGGGUAGGGCUGUGCCGUGCGAGUUCAGAGCUUUUCAGUUGCUGCUGAAAAGAAAAACACGCUUUUGAAAGACACAGUUUUCCGGCGUACAGGUGAUUUUGAGCCAGGUGUGCCGCUUUCAGAGUCCUCGCUCCCGCUCUGGGGCGUCACCCUUGAGUUCACCAGUUCGGUAAAACUGGAAACUCGCCGCUUACGCAAACGCGUUCUUUCUGGCGAGAGAGAACCACGCGUUGUUUUCAGGCUAAGGGACCUAUCGUUGGACGUCUCUGCACAUUUGAUUGCAGGUGAACAGUUCUUGUUCGCGGAUCAGUUGUACGGAAACAAUAACAAUGUCUACUUACGAGUUGAUAAUAACAGUACGCGGUCUAGCUAUGAUCUUUAUGUUCUUAAUGCCUUUUUCUGUCUCGAGAACCAAUUGGUUCCAGGCUGGAGAACCACGCCCGUUUCGCUUUUGCCGUUGCGACAGAAACCCGCAGCUGGAGCACACAGCCGGUCUUCGGGGUGAGUGAAACGUUGCUUCUGAACGACCGCCCCAGCGUCGCUGGGUUUUUUCCGGUUUCUGGCGUGUGCCUGGCCUGAUAUUCCAAAAGGCGCUGCUCUGCGCAUGAGUCGCGAAGACACAGCUCUUUUUGACAAGUCCAGGAAAUCCGCCCGGGUCGGCGAAACGUUAACAACCCUCGAGAAGCUGCGAGCGCAUCCGUCAACAGCUUGAGAACAGGUUCACAGAACUGAAGCGAGGGAAACUCCGCCGCAUUACCGCGCGCGUCUUUUUCCACCCAGAGAGUCUCGCGAUUGUGACUGUGAACUGGCGUCUCGCCGACUGACCGAUUUUAGCGUUGAGGUGCGUGCCUUCCAAAUGAUUAUCCGCAAAGGAAAUGUUCGCCCCCGUCUGUUCUCCCCGUAAACGGACUGGGAGGAGCAAUCUCAACUUUUUUUCUUUUUUCAACUGCUCGACCUUCGAGGUGUGCAAACCAGAAGCCGAUCUCGUAGUCGGUACUCCCCCCAGAAAAGAAGACGCUUCUCUCUUCUAAACCUGGGACUGCUACCCAGCGUGUGUUGACCGUUGCGCAGCAGCGAGCGCUCGGAUCAGCCGGAGAACCCGGGAGGGAAGAACUUGGUCCGGAGCGGAAAAACGCUUUUCUUUUCCGAGGUCGGCUCUCUGGUCUUCUCGCGGUUUGCGCGACCGCAGAACCUCGCAAAUGAGCCGCAAGUCUUGUUCGCUGCGAGUGCGCAUGCAGGACACAGUGACAGCACCGAUGGAGCCUGAUACUCGGAAGAAAACGCUCGGACUGCGCUCUGUCAUGCAGUUGACAGUGCGCCUCGAGUUUAAACCAAAAGAUCCCUCCAUUCCUGUUUUCUGGAAAAACCGACGGACAUAGAGUGCAGUCGUGUGCGACAGCACAGGCGUUCUCUCCACUAAGCGGUGAACCGCCUAGACGAGAUCACGCGGAACCGAUUAACCGAGCCUCCGGCGAAAAACUGGCGAGCCCUAACGGGGCCUGCGUGGCAUGCUCAGUCGCGGAGGGCCAGCCAAAGAGUGGAAAGAAAUCUAGACGGAGCGACAAGUCCAUGAUUGUCCCCACUAGCUCACUUGUUGCGAAGGAGUUCCGCGACAUGCGUGAGGAGCUCGAAUCGCCGCAAAUGCUCCAAAAGAUCUCCGGAAGAAAGGCCGCCAUCCAGGAGAUCCUGAAAGAAGCAGAGACACCGCGAAACACAAAGACUGCCGCAGCGGGACUCUCUCACUCCUCGUGCAUAUCUCACUGAUUGUCGACAUCUUCCCGCCGCGCCCCAUCCGCGAGCACAGACUCGUACACCUCCAUGUGUACACACCUACAUCGCCGCACACAUGCAAAUAGGACAGUUGCAUUUCUGCGUAUUUGUGGAAACCGGGUCGAGACCCGUCGGGGACGCAUGCCCGAAACCGAGAGUUGUGAGUCACGUGGAAGGUCCAGGGAUAAAACAGCCACAGCGGCUCGUUCCGCAGCGAGGCGGGCGCCGAAACGAAAGAGAGAAGAAGAGAGAAGCCGACCAAACGCGCCUCCCUACCUUCAGCUGAGAAACGCUCGGGGGCGCCCGUGGCUGGCGUCCGGAGUCUCCGUGUCGCCCGCGCCGUUGAAAGUGGAAACUCCUUUCCGGUUCACCUUCGCCGUGGUGCGAAAAGUAGAACACCUCUUCUGUCCAGCCCUCAUCCUGUGUCGGAGCGUCGUCCUCUUUCUCUCUUGGUUCCUCCUCAGCCGCAACGACAGGCAGAUACCUGUGGAAAAACUCCACGGGUAGCACUCGGUAGAGCCUGCCGUCGACGUCGACCGGUCGCCUCAACGGCAUCACCCCUACCAUUGGGAGUGUCUCCUCUUUGUUCUUUUGUGCGAUCGAAAAGAAGUCUUUGUGUUCCCUGACUCUUCGCCGCAACGGAACCGCCUUCGGGGAAGCCCCUGACGCCGCAGGCCGUUUCGCCUCGACGUCGCCGUCGUUCCUGAUGUGCACGAUCCCUCCGUCUUCUGUCUUUGACGGUCCUUCUUCGCCGCCGUCCCUCGCGAGAGCGAACGCCUCCUCCAGAGAAGGCAGCAGCGGUUCUGGAGUGACCCAGACGUCGCGGCCUUGAGGCGUCAGUGUCAAGGCUUCAACCUCGACGCUCCCGUCUCCGGCCGGUGACAAAGACGACCUCGGCAGUGUGCGGUGCACAAUCAGCGACACGAAUGGAACGGCGGAACGGCGAGAAGGAGAAGGAGACAGAGGCGCCGCGCUGCCGGACACGUUCUCUGCGUGAUGUUGCAAGUGAAGAGACAGGAGAACUUCCACCGGCGUCACGCGACGUCUCUGCAACACGACUCACACAGAAAGAAAAAGGACACAGUGAACGAGGUCGAGAGGUACACGGCAGCAAGCAAAUGGGACUGAACAGCUUACCGAAUCGGCGGCCGGCCAGCCGAAAGACACACUUCGAAUUGGGGAGAAAACAAAGAAGAAUCGACGAAACGCCGCUGGGUGCCUACCUGUCUUUCAGUCCCCUCGGCGGGGUUUUCUUCGCCUUUUUCUCCGACCGAUCGGCCUUUUUUCGCCUUUUGAGCGGCGUCCUGGACGUGCCUCCCCGAAACGCCUCCUCGCCCCCUUUGGGCUCUAAAAGACGGCCCACUGUCUCCGUUGUCCGGGCGACUCGGCGGCCGCAGGGACGCCCACCCCACAAGUUGGAGCCCCAAGUGCCGCGCUGCGCGAUCCGCAGCUUCUCGAAGGGGCGACGCUCCAAGCAGGAACUGCACAGCAAAAGGAAAGUUCGACACACAGCUGAAACAUGAGGAUGCUUGCAGCGCGCGUAAGGCGAGGAGCCAGGGACAGCCUUGAGUGUCCAUACAGAGCGCUAUAUCUCCGGCCCACGUGUCAAGAAACCGGUUCUCGUUAAUUCCCGCUGCUUUCACGAACACAAGACGCGAUACGGUAUAGCUCAAAUCGAGUAAACAGAGCCCUAUUUAGCACCUAGAAUACUGAAUAUGCACGGUAUCUAUACAUGGUUGCGAGAACCACUGUGUCUUCGCACCUGAAACGUCUCAUCCCUAGCAGCAGGACACGUCAAAGGAGAAAGGCAAAGAGGCAACCGCGCCAUUAUCGCCUCUCUUUUCCAGGUGACUCGACUGCGUAACGAGGAAUGCCGUCACGCGGGAUUCCCCUCUCAUCGCAGUCUCUCUCUCGCUUUCUCUCUUUCUUUCUCUUUUUCUCGCUUCCUCUCUUUCUUUCUCUUUUUCUCGCUUCCUCUCUUGUGCGUCACGAGAACCUACCACAAAAACCCAACACCAAGGUCUUUGAAUUGCGUGUAGAUUUCCCGUCUGUUUUUCGUCGUUCCUCUCUCUCUCUGC